UUGCUUUCCAAGCAGGUCCUGGUUAGUGACCCUUUAAAGAGUUUUCCUGCAGUGCUCUAUCAUGGGUAGAUCUCAAGCGAGAAUCGGGUAGAAAGUGUCAAGUCGCCUAGGAAGAGGGAUCUUGAAAACAGAAGGAUUUUCUGCCAGCUUUUCCUGUCCUUGCUGCAGAUUUGGAGGGUGUUCUGGGCAUUUUCCAGACAGCCCUUCUGUAGGGGUACAAGGGCAAGGCAAAAGAUAUUGCCUAACAAGUCAUCAGUGUUAGGUGCACUCCCCUCUUUCUUUGAAUGAAGCCAGACUAGGAUGGUGAGAGGAUAUUGCAGAGGUUUAAGACUGUCUGCCCUGAAAAUCAAGGCAAACCACUGAAAUGAGCUCUGCCUGCCCUAGAAGAGUUGGAGCUGCAGAAUACAGCCUCACCCACAAGGCUGGUUUUAGAAAAAACUCACAGUUUAAUUUCAGCAUGUGUGUCUGAAGAUCUGGGCUCUUCCUGGGUGAAUCCACUUUCUGUGGUCUUUUGUGAUGAGAAACCAAAUGUAGCCAAAUCCCAAAGCUGCUGGGAAGAUGCAAAAGGCUGUGAUUAUAAAAUGUGUGUGUGUGUCUAUAUCCCUUUUACAAUCCAUGCUUUAAUCUGUGUACAUGUGAAUUAGGAUAAAUAUUUUUUAAGAGGAGAACUCACUCCCCCACUCCCCUGGCAAGUCUGAAUACAUUUCUGGAACUGAGGUUGCUCUGUGCUUCCUGUGAUGUUUGAUCCAAGGCAGCACUAGAGCUCUGUGUCCCAAAGCCACAUUGUGGAGCCUGACCAAUGUGUUUGGAUUCUUGCAGCCACCCCAGGCACUUCAGGCCCCAGCGCUCCAGCUGGCAGUGCUGGUUUUGCACCAUGGACAGCCCCCAGCUGGCUGUGGAAUACUCCUGGGGAAGAGGAAUUGCCACCACCAGAUCUGGACAUGGUGCUUGAGACGCUGGAGGAGAUGUUUUCUCCCUCUGCUCAGGGGAAUAUUAAUGUUGCCCCAGAGUCUUCAGGAGGGCAGCCUGUGGACAGAGCUGAAGCAGAAGGAGCUUUGCCUGGCACCAGGAGGUGCGGGAACAAUUCCCAGGAGCCCGAAGAGCUUGAUUUCCACCUAAUCUACCUCGCCAGGAGGGCUGCCCUGCGUGAGAAAAAGGAUCGGAGGGAGAGCCUGUGACCAUCGGGCAGGUGGAAUCCCUCCAUUUAUACAUAGAUUUAUAGAUUUCCAUAGUUCUAUUUAUAUAUCCUUGUAGUUACAUUUAUUGAUUUAUACAAUCCUAUUUAUAUAUCCACAUAGUUAUAUUUGUAGGUUUAUAGAGAACAUAUAUAUAUAUAUAUAUAUACAUCUAUACAGUUAAAUCUAUAUAUAGUUUUUGAUGUGAUAGAAUUAUAUUUAUGUGCAUGUAGUUACAUUUAUAGAUUUUAAAAUUUACAUUUAUAUACAUAGAGAGUAAUAAUAUAUUUUUAAUAUUUUUAUAUUUAUAAAUCUGCAUCGAUAUGUAGUUAGAGUUAUAUGGAUUUUUAGAUGGAUAGAUUGAUGUUAGUGUAGGUCUAGGCAGUAUUUUUACCUCUUUCCCCCUCGGCUGCCUUUUUCACCUCUGGCUUUUCCCCCUGUGCCCCCUGUGUCCCCUCUCCCUGGGCUGGGUCCGAGCUGGCGGCCGGGCCGCGCACAGCAGCAGUUCCAGCCCCGGAUGUCCCUGGAGCGCUGGGAGCUGCCGGUGGCCCCAGGCACUGUCCCCUGAGGAGCUGCUGAAGGACGCUGCAAUGAAGACCUCGAGGACCGCCGGAGACUGCCGGGAGCCAGCAGGGAGAAGCCGAGGGCCAGCAGCAGG